UACGUAGGGCGCAAGCGUUAUCCGGAAUUAUUGGGCGUAAAGAGCUCGUAGGCGGUUUGUCGCGUCUGCUGUGAAAGACCGGGGCUCAACUCCGGUUCUGCAGUGGGUACGGGCAGACUAGAGUGAUGUAGGGGAGACUGGAAUUCCUGGUGUAGCGGUGAAAUGCGCGGAUAUCAGGAAGAACACCCGUGGCGAAGGCGGCUCUCUGGGACGGUACUGACGCUGAGACGCGAAAGCGUGGGGAGCGAACAGG
rnacentral:rRNA from 1 species